rnacentral:rRNA from 1 species
UACUAAUCUGCGAUAAGCGCCGGUAAGGUGAUAUGAACCGUUAUAACCGGCGAUACCCGAAUGGGGAAACCCAGUGUGAUUCGUCACACUAUCAUUAACUGAAUCCAUAGGUUAAUGAGGCGAACCGGGGGAACUGAAACAUCUAAGUACCCCGAGGAAAAGAAAUCAACCGAGAUUCCCCCAGUAGCGGCGAGCGAACGGGGAGGAGCCCAGAGCCUGAAUCAGCAUGUGUGUUAGUGGAAGCGUCUGGAAAGGCGCGCGAUACAGGGUGACAGCCCCGUACACAAAAGCGCAUGUGCUGUGAGCUCGAUGAGUAGGGCGGGACACGUGGUAUCCUGUCUGAAUAUGGGGGGACCAUCCUCCAAGGCUAAAUACUCCUGACUGACCGAUAGUGAACCAGUACCGUGAGGGAAAGGCGAAAAGAACCCCGGCGAGGGGAGUGAAAAAGAACCUGAAACCGUGU